rnacentral:rRNA from 1 species
GACGAACGCUGGCGGCGUGCUUAACACAUGCAAGUCGAACGGAAAGGCCCUGCUUGCAGGGUACUCGAGUGGCGAACGGGUGAGUAACACGUGGGUGAUCUGCCCUGCACUUCGGGAUAAGCCUGGGAAACUGGGUCUAAUACCGGAUAGGAGCCAUUUUUAGUGUGAUGGUUGGAAAGUUUUUUCGGUGUAGGAUGAGCUCGCGGCCUAUCAGCUUGUUGGUGGGGUAAUGGCCUACCAAGGCGGCGACGGGUAGCCGGCCUGAGAGGGUGGACCGCCACAUUGGGACUGAGAUACGGCCCAGACUCCGACGGGAGGCAGCAGUGGGGAAUAUUGCACAAUGGGCGCAAGCCUGAUGCAGCGACGCCGCGUGGGGGAUGACGGCCUUCGGGUUGUAAACUCCUUUCGCUAGGGACGAAGCUUUUUGUGACGGUACCUAGAUAAGAAGCACCGGCUAACUACGUG